GGUGGCUCAGUGGUAGAGUGUUUGCCUUGCAUGCAUAAGGCCUGAGUUCAAUUCCUCAGCACCA
rnacentral:tRNA from 1 species